CAGAGAGAGGAGCUGCAGUCCUGCCUGCUCUGCUCAAGCAUCCAGACGCCUGCUGGGGUACCGGCGAUAUAACCAGCAGUAGGUUCCUCAAUAUCUAAAGCUGCAGCUGAAGAUAAGAAACUGCAUGAACUGGGCUUUCCUUUUGGAAAAUGGGCCAACUUUUGUAUAUACUCAAGUAACACCUAAUUUGUGUAUCCAACGCAGGGAUUGGCAACCAUAUGUCAUUGUGUAUGUGUGUGGAUCUGUCCAUGCAACCUUUACUGAUGCACACAGAUCAGGUUUUUUGAUCACACAGAUCGAAUACGCCCUUUCUCCCCUCAACUA